AGAGAGGCUGUGAGGGUGGCUUUGUGAGGAUGGCUUUGUGUGGCUGCACAUUGCCCUUGGCCAAGCCCCGCUGCCAGGAGAGGCAGCUCGGCUGCCAAACCUCCUGAACCCAAGUUACCUGAGCAAGCAGCCCUAUCCCCUCGCCUGCUUCUCACUGCCUCGCCUGCCUUGGGCCUGCCCGACCCAGGGGGUCACAUGCCUUGUUCCCCAUCAGUGGAGACCAGGGACAAGAAGACAGUUCUGUGGGAAGAGCCAGGAGGACCAUUUGGGAAAAUACAGGUUCCAGGUGUGUCUCCAGACCUUGAGAGUUGGUGUCUCCUGGGAAGAGGCCCUGAUGAGAUCUGGGGAGAUUCGGAUCUGAUGAGAUUCAGGAAGCCCUGGCCUCUCCGUACUUGAGGAGACGGGACACACAGGACAAGCUGCAGGCUGGUGAGCAGAUUUUAUCUAAUCAGGAUUCCAGAGCACAAGACAAAUGGCCUCACGUCCGGCUGGGAGGUGUAAUUCAUUCUCCUGGGUUCACCUUCUAUUUUGAAGACCCGCUUCUUCCUCAGGUACCUGAUCUUGAAAACGACCUCCCCUUUCAGUUCUGGAGGCCAGAAGCCCAAAAUCAGUCUCGCUGGGCUAACGUGAAGGUGUCAGUCGGGCUGGUUCCUUCUGGAGGCUCCAGAAAAGAAUCUGUUUUCUUGCCUUUUCUGGCUCAGUUUCUCGGCUUGUGGCUCCUUCCUCCAUCUUCAAAGAGCACCACUCCAAUCUGCUCCUCCAUCAGGUCACCUUCUGCCUGACUCCUACAUCCCUUUCAGAAGGACCCUUGUGAUUCCAUGAGGUCCACCCAGAUCACGCAGGAUAAUGUCCCCGUCUCAAGAGGCUUAAUCUAAUCACAGGUCUUGCUUCCCCUCAACCCAGACACCGACUCGCCCAAGGGUCUUCCAGCUGGCUGAGUUGGAACCUGCAUUUUUUAACCACAAGGAAAAGAAGCCCAGAGCUACCAAGAAUAAUAUUUUAUUGACUUGGAAUGAGUUUUGGAAUCUGUAUUUUUAACAAGCUGCCCAGUGAAAACCAUUUCCUCCUCGUCGUGGCGCAGGUCCAGAGGCUGCGCCCAUCUCUCCCACGUCAACAGUCCUGUGUCCUUGGCGAAGGACUGUUCUCUCAUUCAGUGCCUUUCCUCUCUUCCUGGGCCAAAUCCCUGCUUUGCGUCUCCCUGCAGCUCAUAAAAAGCUGAAUUACCUGAGGCAGGGAAAGCCCCACCCACUGUCAUUCUCAGGGAGGAGUGGAGUCUGCAGAGGCCGCAAUGCACAGCUUCCCUAUCCCCCUCCACCCGUGUUUUCCCAGAGCAGCUCUGUUCCAGGCCCGGGGGUGUCCCUGGGCCGAGAUGGAAUCCAGCCCUGACCACCUCCCAAAGCCAACAGCCCUGAGUGAGCGUGCAGAGAAGCAAGAGCUGUUCCUGAUGCAGAGCAAAGACAUCUCCCAGUCAAGGGGGAUGAACUGAUUUGGGACAAAAGGCAGUUGUUGGCUGAGGAAGGCAGGAUCUGGGGGAGCCCUGUGCUGAGUGGAGGUGGGUGGGUGUAUUUCCUUGGCUCACAGAGGCCUCUUGUCUGGUGGGAUCAGCUCCUCCAGCCAGUUGCCACCUGGUCCAGCUUUGGGAGAUGUGGAGAAUGACUUUCGCAGUGAUUUCCACUGGGCCAUGGCAUUGAAACAGCUGCAGGAGGGGACACAGCUGGUGCCACCCCUACUCCGUCCAUUAGAGCUGCUGUGAAGGAAUGCCACCCUCCCCAUGGGGAGUGAGGGGGCCCUACUUGCUGUGGUUGGUUCCAGGGACCAUGGGAAGAGGCAAACCCCUAUUUUCAAGGGCACAAGUUGGCUUUUAUUAAAAUAAAAUUUCAUCAUCACUUA
rnacentral:lncRNA from 1 species